rnacentral:rRNA from 1 species
UACGUAGGGUGCAAGCGUUGUCCGGAAUUAUUGGGCGUAAAGAGCUCGUAGGCGGUUUGUCGCGUCUGCUGUGAGAACCCGAGGCUCAACCUCGGGCCUGCAGUGGGUACGGGCAGACUAGAGUGCGGUAGGGGAGAUUGGAAUUCCUGGUGUAGCGGUGGAAUGCGCAGAUAUCAGGAGGAACACCGAUGGCGAAGGCAGAUCUCUGGGCCGUAACUGACGCUGAGGAGCGAAAGCGUGGGGAGCGAACAGG